GAGAAUCUUUACUUGGAAAUUUGC
rnacentral:siRNA from 1 species